GACGAACGCUGGCGGCGUGCUUAAUACAUGCAAGUCAACGACUUUUAGAGUAGCAAUAUUUUAAAAGGAGUGGCGCACGGUGAGUAACACGUAGGUAAUCUGCCUUCAGGACUGACACAACUCGUCGAAAGACGGGCUAAUAUCAGAUAAUGCAGCGGCUCCGCAUGGAGACAGUUGUUAAAGUACAAGCGCCUGAAGAUGAGCCUGCGGUCCAUUAGCUAGUUGGUAGAGUAACAGCCUACCAAGGCAACGAUGGAUAGCUGGUCUGAGAGGAUGAUCAGCCACACUGGAACUGAGACACGGUCCAGACUCCUACGGGAGGCAGCAGUAAGGAAUAUUGCUCAAUGGCCGAAAGGCUGAAGCAGCAACGCCGCGUGAAGGAUGAAUGGCCUUUGGCCUGUAAAACUUCUGUAAAAAGGGAAAACAAAUCAAGGCAUGUCCUGAUUUGAUUGUACCUUUGAAGUAAGCCCCGGCUAACUACGUGCCAG
rnacentral:rRNA from 1 species